CCUACGGGAGGCAGCAGUGAGGAAUAUUGGUCAAUGGACGAGAGUCUGAACCAGCCAAGUAGCGUGAAGGAUGACUGCCCUAUGGGUUGUAAACUUCUUUUAUAUGGGAAUAAAAUGUUCCACGUGUGGGAUUUUGUAUGUACCAUAUGAAUAAGGAUCGGCUAACUCCGUGCCAGCAGCCGCGGUAAUACGGAGGAUCCGAGCGUUAUCCGGAUUUAUUGGGUUUAAAGGGAGCGUAGGUGGAUUGUUAAGUCAGUUGUGAAAUUGUGCGGCUCAACCGUAAAAUUGCAGUUGAAACUGGCAGUCUUGAGUACAGUAGAGGUGGGCGGAAUUCGUGGUGUAGCGGUGAAAUGCUUAGAUAUCACGAAGAACUCCGAUUGCGAAGGCAGCUCACUGGACUGCAACUGACACUGAGGCUCGAAAGUGUGGGUAUCAAACAGGAUUAGAUACCCCUGUAGUC
rnacentral:rRNA from 1 species